UUCGAUUGAUCAGAUUCGCUUUACGAUACGUUAUCAAAGAGUCAAGUUGUUUGGGAUUGCAGCUUAAAAUGGGAGGUAAAUUUCUCCUAAGGCUAAAUAUUGGCGAGAGACCGAUAGCGAACAAGUACCGUGAGGGAAAGAUGAAAAGUACUUUGAAAAGAGAGUUAAACAGCACGUGAAAUUGUUGAAAGGGAAACGAUUGAAGCCAGUCGUACCGGCGGAUAAUCAGCCUUUCGGGUGCGAUUCUGUGGGGCGUGAGGAGCUUAACCGCCUUCAUGUUUUGCAUAUUCGUGCACAUUUGGUGUACUUGUCCGUGUGGUGGGUUAACAUCAAUUUCGGUCGUCAUAAAAUGAUUGGAGGAAUGUAGCUUUGGUCUCGUAUCGAAGUGUUAUAGACUCUGGUAGAUGUGACGAUUGGGAUUGAGGAUUGCAACGGAUACCCCUUCGGGGGCUGCCCGUCUGAUCUCUGAAGGUUGCUCCGGUGCCGAAAGCGUGCUUACGGUCAUCGAAAGUGAUUUUCAAAAGGUUAGAACGGGUUAAAUU
rnacentral:rRNA from 1 species